CCUACGGGAGGCAGCAGUGGGGAAUAUUGCACAAUGGGGGAAACCCUGAUGCAGCAACGCCGCGUGAGUGAAGAAGGAUUUCGGUAUGUAAAGCUCUAUUAGCAGGGAAGAAAAUGACAGUACCUGACUAAGAAGCCCCGGCUAACUACGUGCCAGCAGCCGCGGUUAUAUGUAGGGGGCAAGCGUUAUCCGGCUUUACUGGGCGUAAAGGGAGCGUAGGCGGCUGCGCAAGUCAGCAGUGAAAGCCCGGGGCUCAACCGCGGGACUGCUUUUGAAACUGGGUAGCUAGAGUGCAGGAGAGGUAAGUGGAAUGCCUGGUGUAGCGGUGAAAUGCGUAGAUAUUAGGAGGAACACCGGUGGCGAAGGCGGCUUACUGGACUGUAACUGACGUUGAGGCUCGAAAGCGUGGGGAGCGAACAGGAUUAGAUACCCCUGUAGUC
rnacentral:rRNA from 1 species